AGGUGUCAUCAAAUGUUGCUGCUCUCUGAAGGGGAUGGUAAGGUAUGGUGCACCCCAAUGGAAAAUAAGUCCAGAGAGUUAUUGGUCUCCAGUAAACCAGUGUACUUCUUUACUGGAGGAACUCAAAAAGAAUACAGGGCUCGUGCC